CAGAAGGGCCUCUGAGUGUGGACUCAAAAGAAACGCAGCCUUGUAGUCGUGCCGACUCGAACAGGAGGGGACUAUAGAGAUGUAAAUGGAAGGGUCUCGACCCACCCUGUUCACAGGUUGUUUUGUUUCUUUCCUGUAGAAAGGGUCCUUUUGAAAAGUUCCAUCUCACCACGUGUGAACUAAGAUCGGCUCCCACAGUAUUGAAUGAGCCUUGAAUUUGAUGGCUUCUCAAUCAACACCACGUGCAGAAGCUGACAAUAACCGAUGGACUUUUUCAGGGGAUAUCCACGCCAUCCCUACAGCCUGGGGGAAAGGCAGAAUAACUGGCCACAAAAGGCCAAGCAGAAGCCCGGAGAAGACGUAAGGAUGGCGGUGAUUGGAAGGAGGGCCAUUGACCUGAGCACCCACUGUAGGAGGCAAGACCAGCCUCCCUGCCCUGGUGGGAGUGAAUAUGGCCCCUCCCCACACACUCAGACAUCCCCUUGGUUCCUUCUUUGUUCUUCGGGCCUUCUACAGAUGGACACCCCCACUGCAACCCAACAUCCCCAGUGAUGAGAACCACUGACCCCUGCCUCCCAGGUCCACCCCCGUGGGAGGCCCCUACAGAAGCAAAGCAUAGUCACCUUAGACUCUGGCGUACUGAGCCAGGCCCUGAUCCCACCUCACCUUCCUGACAACUUAUUAUUUAAUUAAAAGAUUAAAUAAUA